rnacentral:rRNA from 1 species
GAUGAACGCUAGCUACAGGCUUAACACAUGCAAGUCGAGGGGCAGCAUGGUCUUAGCUUGCUAAGGCCGAUGGCGACCGGCGCACGGGUGAGUAACACGUAUCCAACCUGCCGUCUACUCUUGGACAGCCUUCUGAAAGGAAGAUUAAUACAAGAUGGCAUCAUGAGUCCACAUGUUCACAUGAUUAAAGGUAUUCCGGUAGACGAUGGGGAUGCGUUCCAUUAGAUAGUAGGCGGGGUAAUGGCCCACCUAGUCUUCGAUGGAUAGGGGUUCUGAGAGGAAGGUCCCCCACAUUGGAACUGAGACACGGUCCAAACUCCUACGGGAGGCAGCAGUGAGGAAUAUUGGUCAAUGGGCGAGAGCCUGAACCAGCCAAGUAGCGUGAAGGAUGACUGCCCUAUGGGUUGUAAACUUCUUUUAUAAAGGAAUAAAGUCGGGUAUGCAUACCCGUUUGCAUGUACUUUAUGAAUAAGGAUCGGCUAACUCCGUGCCAGCAGCCGCGGUAAUACGGAGGAUCCGAGCGUUAUCCGGAUUUAUUGGGUUUAAAGGGAGCGUAGAUGGAUGUUUAAGUCAGUUGUGAAAGUUUGCGGCUCAACCGUAAAAUUGCAGUUGAUACUGGAUAUCUUGAGUGCAGUUGAGGCAGGCGGAAUUCGUGGUGUAGCGGUGAAAUGCUUAGAUAUCACGAAGAACUCCGAUUGCGAAGGCAGCCUGCUAAGCUGCAACUGACAUUGAGGCUCGAAAGUGUGGGUAUCAAACAGGGUUAGAUACCCUGGUAGUCCACACGGUAAACGAUGAAUACUCGCUGUUUGCGAUAUACAGCAAGCGGCCAAGCGAAAGCGUUAAGUAUUCCACCUGGGGAGUACGCCGGCAACGGUGAAACUCAAAGGAAUUGACGGGGGCCCGCACGAGCGGAGGAACAUGUGGUUUAAUUCGAUGAUAUGCGAGGAACCUUACCCGGGCUUAAAUUGCAGAUGAAUUACGGUGAAAGCCGUAAGCCGCAAGGCAUCUGUGAAGGUGCUGCAUGGUUGUCGUCAGCUCGUGCCGUGAGGUGUCGGCUUAAGUGCCAUAACGAGCGCAACCCUUGUUGUCAGUUACUAACAGGUUCCGCUGAGGACUCUGACAAGACUGCCAUCGUAAGAUGUGAGGAAGGUGGGGAUGACGUCAAAUCAGCACGGCCCUUACGUCCGGGGCUACACACGUGUUACAAUGGGGGGUACAGAGGGCCGCUACCACGCGAGUGGAUGCCAAUCCCCAAAACCUCUCUCAGUUCGGACUGGAGUCUGCAACCCGACUCCACGAAGCUGGAUUCGCUAGUAAUCGCGCAUCAGCCACGGCGCGGUGAAUACGUUCCCGGGCCU